UACGUAGGGUGCAAGCGUUGUCCGGAAUUAUUGGGCGUAAAGAGCUCGUAGGCGGUUCGUCGCGUCGGCUGUGAAAACCUGAGGCUCAACCUCAGGCCUGCAGUCGAUACGGGCGGACUUGAGUACUGCAGGGGAGACUGGAAUUCCUGGUGUAGCGGUGAAAUGCGCAGAUAUCAGGAGGAACACCGGUGGCGAAGGCGGCCCACUGGUCCGGUACUGACGCUGAGGUGCGAAAGCGUGGGGAGCAAACAGG
rnacentral:rRNA from 1 species